rnacentral:rRNA from 1 species
AGUGAACGCUGGCGGUAGGCCUAACACAUGCAAGUCGAACGGCAGCACAGUAAGAGCUUGCUCUUACAGGUGGCGAGUGGCGGACGGGUGAGGAAUACAUCGGAAUCUACUUUUUCGUGGGGGAUAACGUAGGGAAACUUACGCUAAUACCGCAUACGACCUACGGAUGAAAGCAGGGGAUCUUCGGACCUUGCGCGAUUGAAUGAGCCGAUGUCGGAUUAGCUAGUUGGCGGGGUAAAGGCCCACCAAGGCGACGAUCCGUAGCAGGUCUGAGAGGAGGAUCAGCCGCACUGGAAGGGAGACACGCUCCAGACUCCUACGGGAAGGAGCAGUGGGGAACAUGGGGCAAUGGGCGCGAACCUGAUCCAGCCAGACCGCGUGGGUGAAGAAGGCCUUCGGGUUGGGAAGCCCGUUUGUUGGGAAAGAAAAGCAGCAGGUUAAUACCCCGCUGUUCUGACGGUACCCAGAGAAUAAGCACCGGCUAACUUCGUG